CCUACGGGAGGCUGCAGUCGAGAAUCAUUCACAAUGGGGGAAACCCUGAUGGUGCGACGCCGCGUGGGGGAAUGAAGUUCUUCGGAUUGUAAACCCCUGUCAUGUGGGAGCAAAUUAAAAAGAUCGUACCACAAGAGGAAGAGCCGGCUAACUCUGUGCCAGCAGCCGCGGUAAUACAGAGGUCUCAAGCGUUGUUCGGAAUCACUGGGCGUAAAGCGUGCGUAGGCUGUUUCGUAAGUCGUGUGUGAAAGGCGCGGGCUCAACCCGCGGACGGCACAUGAUACUGCGAGACUAGAGUAAGGGAGGGGGAACCGGAAUUCUCGGUGUAGCAGUGAAAUGCGUAGAUAGCGAGAGGAACACUCGUGGCGAAGGCGGGUUCCUGGACAUUAACUGACGCUGAGGCACGAAGGCCAGGGGAGCGAAAGGGAUUAGAUACCCGGGUAGUC
rnacentral:rRNA from 1 species